rnacentral:ncRNA from 1 species
AUUUGCAGAAAUAAAAACACAGUUCGGUAGGUAGUCCGGACGCAUAUUAAGUAAAUUUAAUAUGUCAGUAGCCUUCCCCCUCGGGAUGUCCAUUUUCUGUAUGAAUUUA